rnacentral:rRNA from 1 species
GACGAACGCUGGCGGCGUGCCUAACACAUGCAAGUCGAACGGGGUUGUUCCUUCGGGAACAACUUAGUGGCGAACGGGUGAGUAACGCGUGAGGAACCUGCCUUUCAGUGGGGGACAACAGUUGGAAACGACUGCUAAUACCGCAUAAUGUUGUCGGAUGGCAUCAUCUGGCAACCAAAGCUUUAUGUGCUGAAAGAUGGCCUCGCGUCUGAUUAGAUAGUUGGUGAGGUAACGGCUCACCAAGUCGACGAUCAGUAGCCGGACUGAGAGGUUGAACGGCCACAUUGGGACUGAGAUACGGCCCAGACUCCUACGGGAGGCAGCAGUGGGGAAUAUUGGGCAAUGGGGGAAACCCUGACCCAGCAACGCCGCGUGAAGGAAGAAGGCCUUCGGGUUGUAAACUUCUUUUAGCAGGGACGAAGGACGUGACGGUACCUGCAGAAAAAGCAACGGCUAACUACGUGCCAGCCGCCGCGGUAAAAC